GACAGAGGGUGCAAGCGUUGUUCGGAAUUACUGGGCAUAAAGGGCGCGUAGGCGGAUAGAUAAGUUGGAUGUGAAAUACCGUAUUUUAAGUAUGGAACUGCAUUCAAGACUGCCUGUCUAGAAUAUCGGAGAGGGAAGCGGAAUUCCUGGUGUAGAGGUGAAAUUCGUAGAUAUCAGGAGGAACACCGGAGGCGAAGGCGGCUUCCUGGCCGACGAUUGACGCUGAGGCGCGAAAGCGUGGGUAUCAAAC
rnacentral:rRNA from 1 species